GACGAACGCUGGCGGCGUGCUUAACACAUGCCAGUCGAACGGAAAGGCCCUGCAUUUGUGGGGUGCUCGAGUGGCGAACGGGUGAGUAACACGUGAGUAACCUGCCCUUGACUUUGGGAUAACUUCAGGAAACUGGGGCUAAUACCGGAUAGGAGCACCUGCUGCAUGGUGGGGGUUGGAAAGUUUCGGCGGUUGGGGAUGGACUCGCGGCCUAUGAGUCUGUUGGUGGGGUAGUGGCUUACCAAGGCUUUGACGGGUAGCCGGCCUGAGAGGGUGACCGGCCGCAUUGGGACGGAGAUGAGGCCGAGACGCCUACGGGAGGCAGCAGUGGGGAAGAAUGCAGAAUGGGCGAAGGCCUGAUGAAGCAGCGCCGCGGGCGGUAGGAAGGCGUUCGGGUGGUAAACCGCUUUCGCCUGUAACGAAGCGUAAGUGACGGAAAUGGGUAAAGAAGCACCGGCUAACUACGG
rnacentral:rRNA from 1 species